rnacentral:rRNA from 1 species
UACAGAGGGGGCAAGCGUUGUUCGGAAUUACUGGGCGUAAAGGGCGCGUAGGCGGCCAUGCGUGUCUUCCGUGAAAUCCCUCGGCUUAACUGAGGACGUGCGGAAGAAACUGCAAGGCUUGAGUCCGGGAGAGGGGGGUGGAAUUCCCAGUGUAGCGGUGAAAUGCGUAGAGAUUGGGAGGAACACCGGUGGCGAAGGCGGCCCCCUGGACCGGUACUGACGCUGAGGCGCGAAAGCGUGGGGAGCAAACGGG